UACGUAGGGACCAAGCGUUGUUCGGAUUUACUGGGCGUAAAGGGAGCGUAGGCGGCAAUUCAAGUCAGUUGUGAAAUCUCCGAGCUUAACUCGGAACUGUCAGCUGAUACUGUUUUGCUAGAGUGCGGAAGGGGCAAUCGGAAUUCUUGGUGUAGCGGUGAAAUGCGUAGAUAUCAAGAGGAACACCUGAGGUGAAGACGGGUUGCUGGGCCGACACUGACGCUGAGUGCGCGAAAGCCAGGGGAGCAAACGGG
rnacentral:rRNA from 1 species